GAAAAGCAGAGACAUUGAUGAAUUAUUUUGAAUAUCUAUAAAAGCGAUAAAAAUCAUCAAUUUAGAAAUUAUAACAACAUUUUAUUUCAUCUCAAUUGUUAAAGAUCAAAAAUCAUUCACAGUGCAAAACAAUAACAAGUAUGUAAAGGUGAUAAAAAUAUUCCUUGAAAAGGUACACAAUCUACAAACUUGCUUCUGCUUGCUUCAGAGAGAUCUCAACGAUACAGUUCAUGUCAUAGAUCUCAGAAUCCUUUUACACAGUAUUUUAGGUUUACUUUCAACAGACUUCAAUGUUAUUUUUAUACCAUUACCUGUCAACAUAAAAAGAUGUUUACAUAAAGUAAACUUAAAAGUAAAUGGUUCGUUACAGAGACGUUUUUUAAGAUUUUGGAUGAAACAUUUGUAUUACUACAUUUAUUUCACUUGACUGGGAGGAGUUCAAGAAGUUUGCUCAUUUAAGACCAGUCUAUCUAUAGAAAGGAGUUUCGGGAUAAGCUCAUCAAUGAAGUGUCCAGUUCUUCGUCCCUUAUCAUACACUCAGUUCUUUUGUAUAUGCAUUUUGUGACACUGAUUGGUGAUUAUAAUUCAAUAAUAAUUAUAACGGUAAUAAGCUCCGCCCGAUCAGUUGAAAUAACAUUGGUAAUAUGUUUAACUUAAACUAAAAAUCGGAAAAUUACGUAUUUGUAUAUUUUCGGAAAUAUAACUGAAUGAAAAUAAUAAAAAUAAUAAAUCUUCAGUUGUAUGGAUAAAAUUGAUAAAAAGCGAUCUUAAAUUAUUUCAAUCAUCAGUAUUUCAAAAAUCAAUCUAUAGAUGUUUCUUAACAAUUAGAGCAAGUUGAUGCUAUAUAAAUAUUCGUUUGAUUAAUAUCAAGUAUCAAAUUCGAUUUUAAAUCAUCAUAAAAAACAUUUAUCUUCCAAAAUCUGUAAUUUUGCGUGUUUUCAACAUAAUACUGUACAUUAAUUUUACACAAUUUCAUAUAUCUUUUUUAUAAAGGGCAUCAAUAUUUUGAUUUUCAGUAUAAGAGCAAACCAUGAUCAGGCUUUAUGUAAAAACGUUCAUUAUCGCUGACAUAGUUUAUUGUUGUUUGUUUAAACUCCUUACCUUGUGUUGUAAGUUAUCAUGUGUUUGCAUUUUCGUUCAAUAUUGUGUAAAGCUCACUGACCGUACAAAUAAUUUUUCAAAAAAUCAAUUAAUAAAUACCAAUGCAACAAUUAAUAAAUACUAAAACCAUUAAUUACAACUGCUGAUAUAAAACAGCAAUUGAUAAAUAAUAAAAAUCAUUG
rnacentral:lncRNA from 1 species